rnacentral:tRNA from 1 species
GUCCUCGUAGCUCAGCUGGAUAGAGCGUUGGUUUCCGGAGCCAAAGGUCAGAGGUUCGAAUCCUCUCGGGGACAC